rnacentral:lncRNA from 1 species
UUUGAUACCCAAAGAAGAACCAAUAAGAAGAUGUAAAAGUCAGUGAUGCUUGCAAACACAAUAGCAAUCCUUCAAUAACUAAACAGACUAAAUUGGGAGAUUUUUAGACCCAUAUAAAAACAGGUUCAACUCAUAGCCGCUUCUGAAAACCUACUUUGUGCCUGCAUUUCAGCCAUUUCCCAGACAAUGUGCUUUAUUCCCUCCUGGUGGGUGGUUGGGGGCGGGGCAGAGGGGGCAGGGAGUACAUUUUCCAGGUUCUAGAGAAGUUAUAAUCAUGUUCUCUGGAGAGAGUAAUAUUUACCACACAGCAGAACACUUCAGUCAGACUUUGUUUCCCUCUAACAUUGUGUAGGCAAAAGACUUUGGUACCUCAACUCGAGCUUUUUCCCUUUUCAUCUGGUUGUCCUAGUAGAGUGUCAACACAGGCAGGAAUAGAUUAAAAUGAAGGGACACUAUACUGUUAUUCACCAACACCCCUGGAGGCUGUGGCCCUGGGUUGAGUAAGACGGCUUGGCUUUCUCUUCUUAAUGUUUGAGAAAUCUCCUGAUAACUUGCUUAGUAUCCAAACUGACUAAACCCAGCAUACUUUAAAGAUGAGAGAAUAAUGCUCUUUUUGGAAAAGAGACUGCCAAUUUGAAUGAAAGUCAAGGGCUUCAGACAAACUGCAAUCUCAAAGCCCUCUGGACCUCUCCUUGCUUUUAAUGAAAGUUUAAAAUGAUCUUGUAAGAUUCUCGUAAAAACUGCUAAACACAAACGUACUUCUGAAUUUUGGUAAUCAAAAAUCAUGAGUGUAUAAAGCUGUACCUUGCUUGGAAAGAUAAAAUAACAAAACCCUGUGAA